AUCCCCACCCACCUUAGAAACCCAAAGCUUCAUACGCUUUCCACCCUCUCUUGAGCGUCCUAAAAGAAUGUGACUGGGAGCACUGACGUCAUCCUAUGAGACCAAUUCAGGCCUUCACUGGGCAGUGACUUCCUGAAGACCUACUACAUCCUGGGCUUUGUCGAGAAGGACCAGGCGGCUUCUCAUGACAGAGGAGUUCUUUAAGGUUCUGCUCUCCAGGCAACUGGGAGCUCUUUGAUUGAAAACAGCACGACGAGCAUCCCAUCUCCUCUGGUUUUCUCUUCCCUUCCCCUCCUGGCACGAAGUAUCUUUCAGGGAAGCACCUGAGGAGGGUGAUGGGGCAUGUGUGGAGAAGGCAGAGCUUUCCGUGGAUGACCUGCCUGCUACCAGGUAUGGUGGCAUUUGUGAUGCUCUGCCGAGUUCUACCCAGUACUAAAGCAAU
rnacentral:lncRNA from 1 species